AUAACGUUCGGAAACGGACGCUAAUACCGCAUACGUCCUACGGGAGAAAGCAGGGGACCUUCGGGCCUUGCGCUAUCAGAUGAGCCUAGGUCGGAUUAGCUAGUUGGUGAGGUAAUGGCUCACCAAGGCGACGAUCCGUAACUGGUCUGAGAGGAUGAUCAGUCACACUGGAACUGAGACACGGUCCAGACUCCUACGGGAGGCAGCAGUGGGGAAUAUUGGACAAUGGGNNAAAGCCUGAUCCAGCCAUGCCGCGUGUGUGAAGAAGGUCUUCGGAUUGUAAAGCACUUUAAGUUGGGAGGAAGGGCAUUAACCUAAUACGUUAGUGUUUUGACGUUACCGACAGAAUAAGCACCGGCUAA
rnacentral:rRNA from 1 species